rnacentral:lncRNA from 1 species
GUUUGAGUGGCUAUUGACCCAAUGGACCCGGAUGCGAACUCUUAAAAUGACCUUAGCAAGGCUCCUCACACUGGCAGGGCUGUGGAGACAUUUGGGUUGCCUGAGUGCUAUUUGCCACAGACUUAGUGUGACGAAAGGGAGAAUACCGCCUGAAGCACUCAUCACACCCGCCACACGCUCCGAUGGUUCCCAGCCAACUCUAGAAAGAAAGAAAAAAAUCUGUGUGAACACAUACUCUAGAAUCCGGAACAAACUCUGCGAAAGAGCAGUGCUCUGCAGAUCUGUCUUGUACGAUGAACUUCGGGAGUCAGGUGAACUCCCCCCAGUGGAUGGAGACCUGGUGCAAUCGCUUCCCUGGAUAUAAUUGUUUUUCAUGGUGAGACGAUUACUUCAACUCGAAAUCUCCCAGUGUGAACAAUCCUCGGGAUGGCUAAUGUCAUAACAAGGCGAUUGUUCCAAGUACCGCAGUGGGAACUGCGUCAAAACUUGUGUUUAAAUUU